rnacentral:tRNA from 1 species
UAGAAAGUAGUAUAAUCGGUAAAACGGAGAAUUUUGAUUUCUCAAACAUAAGUUCUACCCUUAUCUUUCUAA